UGGGGAAUAUUGCACAAUGGGCGCCAGCCUGAUGCAGCCAUGCCGCGUGUAUGAAGAAGGCCUUCGGGUUGUAAAGUACUUUCAGCGGGGAGGAAGGGAGUAAAGUUAAUACCUUUGCUCAUUGACGUUACCCGCAGAAGAAGCACCGGCUAACUCCGUGCCAGCAGCCGCGGUAAUACGGAGGGUGCAAGCGUUAAUCGGAAUUACUGGGCGUAAAGCGCACGCAGGCGGUUUGUUAAGUCAGAUGUGAAAUCCCCGGGCUCAACCUGGGAACUGCAUCUGAUACUGGCAAGCUGGAGUCUCGUAGAGGGGGGUAGAAUUCCAGGUGUAGCGGUGAAAUGCGUAGAGAUAUGGAGGAAUACCGGUGGCGAAGGCGGCCCCCUGGACGAAGACUGACGCUCAGGUGCGAAAGCGUGGGGAGAAAACAGG
rnacentral:rRNA from 1 species